rnacentral:miRNA from 1 species
UCCUGUAUGUGAACAACAUAACUG